rnacentral:rRNA from 1 species
CCCGUUAUCCGGGACGAGGACCAUGUCUGGUGGGUAGUUUGACUGGGGCGGUCUCCUCCUAAAGAGUAACGGAGGAGUACGAAGGUGCGCUCAGCGUGGUCGGAAAUCACGCGUAGAGUAUAAAGGCAAAAGCGCGCUUAACUGCGAGACCCACAAGUCGAGCAGGUACGAAAGUAGGUCUUAGUGAUCCGGUGGUUCUGUAUGGAAGGGCCAUCGCUCAACGGAUAAAAGGUACUCUGGGGAUAACAGGCUGAUACCGCCCAAGAGUUCAUAUCGACGGCGGUGUUUGGCACCUCGAUGUCGGCUCAUCUCAUCCUGGGGCUGAAGCAGGUCCCAAGGGUAUGGCUGUUCGCCAUUUAAAGAGGUACGCGAGCUGGGUUUAGAACGUCGUGAGACAGUUCGGUCCCUAUCUACCGUGGGCGUUGGAAAUUUGAGAGGAUCUGCUCCUAGUACGAGAGGACCAGAGUGGACGAACCUCUGGUGUACCGGUUGUCACGCCAGUGGCAUCGCCGGGUAGCUAUGUUCGGAAGGGAUAACCGCUGAAAGCAUCUAAGCGGGAAGCCUACCUCAAGAUAAGAUUUCCCCGAGACUUUAUGUCUCCUAAAGAGCCGUUGAAGACUACGACGUUGAUAGGUUGGAUGUGGAAGCAUAGUGAUAUGUGAAGCUGACCAAUACUA